AAAAUCAAAAAUCCUACAGAUUUGGAACAGUGUGAGGGUGAGUAAAUGAUUACAGAAUAACAUUUUUCAACAAUAUCUCUUCAAACGGAUGCACACAUCAAAUUUAUAUGUCCACUUGUGUCUCUGUGUGUAUGUGUUCAUAAAGAUGGACUGGUACAUUUAUUGCACAUGUACCUAUUAUGCACAUGCAUGAGUGUGUGUGUGCACGCGUGUAUGUGCCCAUUGCGUCUGGUUCCUGCCUCCGACUGACAUGUAAUAAAACAUGCCGCUGUGUUGUUGAUCAAUCUCAGCGGCUCGCCGGCCGCACAGCAAGGGCAUGUACAUGCAAAUGAGAAUAGCUAAAUACCACUGAGGGGGUGGGAGAGAGAAGCAAUCACUUCAUCUGACAAACCACGGGGAAAGGAGGAGGGAUGGGGGAUAUAUAGAGGUAUAUGCAAAGUUGAGGGAAUACAGAGAAGGACGGGUUACUAACGAGCAUAUGCACUUAAUUACACAGGGCCUUAUGGGGACCGUGGAUGCGCACACGGGCCUUUCCCGAGCCACCGGGGUGGGGGGUGGCAGUGUGUUUCGUGGGACACUGAGGCCUUUGUGAGAAUCUGGGAUGAACUCUGCCACACAGGGGCAGCAGAAAGCCCUGAAGCGAAAACCAUCAGGGUCAUGUUACUGUUUGCUUUGGAGCAUGCAAAGGGAGAAAGAAAGUGAGAGAAAAAGUGUACGCUUUUGUUUGCUAGUGUGUGCGCGUCUGAAACCACCCUAGUGACCAUAAGGUCAGCUAAUCUCAAACGCCCGAACAAUCCGAAAUGUACACAAGUGGAAGAAAGAGAAGAAGGUGGCGAGAAGAUUGUGUGAUUGGUUAAGAGAGAAGGGAGAUGAGCAGUCGACAUGAUAAUGAUGUGAGAAUUGAUUAACGCUUUCUUUUACAACUCUGGGAACUAAAGGGAACUUUGCCCCCUGGCUUUCACUUUCCAAACACUGAUUCCUUAUGAGGAGUCAAUCCUGGUGACUCUCUCUCUCUUUGCAUGUCUAAGUGAGUCCAUAGACACAUUAUUAAAAUACAAUAGGAUCAAUCUAUGGGCUUUUGGCCUAAAUAAUCUCUUUUUUAAAGCCUGCAGCCUGUCUGCCCUUAUCUCUUUUCUUCUUUUGCAGAAUCUGUUUAACUUUGGGAUGGAACGUGCAUUGGGCCUGUUUGCGAGUAAAUCUGGAGUUUGGGAGCAGGUGAACUGAGGAGGAAUGCAAUUCAGUCUAAACAUUUUGAGAAUCCACUUUCAUCAAAGAAGCACUGAAAGCAUCACGUUAUGAAUGCUUACAGCCAUCAUAAGCCUCCUCUUCCAUUCUGGUCUCAGCAGUCCACCGCGGACCAUAACUCGUUUUUUUUAAGCUUACUCUCUCAGGUUGUGGCUCAUCUGAGAUGAAAUGCUUAAAAGAGUCGUUUUCCUCUCCUGUUCCAUCAGAAACCCAUAGGAGCUCCAUCUCUUUCAGGUAUUGAUUGCCUCAUGCCUGUCCCCUGCCUACAAGUUACAGGGGAAGAUUUUGAGCACUGCGACAGGAGAAGAAGAACUGAGGGAUGGCUGAAGCUCUGGGAACAAACUCCCCUUCAUGUCCCACAGGACUAAAGACUCAUCAGCUCUUUCUCCAUAUUUUGCUCUGUUCCUCAAUUCUCCUCCACCCUGUUCCCAAUCUCUGUCUUGCGGCCUACCAUCUCCUCGGCUCUGGGAAGCGUCGUCUCGACUGAAGAAGUACAGCUGACUUGUGUGGUUAAUGACACCUCAGCAAGCUAUUGGUUUUCCAGGGCCUCUGUGUUUUUCUCUCUGUCUCGCCUCCAUCUUCUUUUCUCCUCCAUGCCUUGACACGGUUUCUCUCUCUUUCUCUCUCUCUGUCAAGCACAGAUUUAUUCUGCCUGUGAUGCGUGGAGAGGAGAGCAGUGCGAGUGCUCAGGGAUAGGGUCAGUAGGAGGGUGGUGUGUGUACAAUAAGAGAUAAGAUCAUGGCUCCCCGGGGGCUUGUUUGGCCCUGUACCCGAUCCAUCAAACGCAUGCUCCUGGUGCCAAGGUAAAGAAGUGGUUCUUGGAUGCUGCUGAGGAGAGACUCGGGAUGCUUCUUUAUGGUCUCUGUUCCCACCCUCUAGAUCACAGUGAUCAUCUCGGCUUGCCAGAUGUCUUCCUUGAACUCUGUCUUGAGUAAUAAAUCGCUGGGCUGCUGAUGAACUUGGACAUGGAGAGAGGAUGGUGAGUGAGAGGAUUCAGAGGUCAGGGGUCAAUUUGUAAGUAGUUAUGUUCUAUUUUUGGUCUUAACUAAUUGAGUUUUUAUGUAUUGUACAUUUUAAUGUGAUAUUUUAAGCAAAGCGUAGCCUUUUCCAUAUUAUCUCAUCUGUUUGUUUCAACGUGGAUUAAAUAGCUGCAAAAUAUCCACUCCAUUAAAAGAAAACAGCACUCAAAAAAUCCAAUUGUUUGUAUAGCAAACAAAUACAACAUUUUCACAUUAAAAAUCUAUCAGAUUGCUGAAUACAGUGAUUUCAGGUCUGGUGGUGUAGAAUGUGAUUCCGCCUGCAGAGAUAAAAGACAGAAAGGGCUUUUUUGUACUCGGUGAGGUGGUUGUAGCAGAAGUCAGGUAGGGUCAGCUCUUCUUCUGCUUGGUACUCUGAGGAAUCACCAUAUCAAUAUCUCUCUGAGCGUGCAUUUUUGAGAAGAAACACUCGAAGUGAUGAGUGCUGAACAGCCUGUAGGCCUCCAGAGACCAAAUCAAACUCUGUGUUUCCUGUAACCUCAGCACCAUGGGAAGUGACCAACCGCGCUCCCGCACACACACACAGAAUAACGACGACCUGCUCUCCUCUGUCCGAUGAUGUGAGCCACUGCUCCGGGUGGUUUUACACAAAGUGUUGAUUUCUUUGUCAAACAUCCCUUCGAUACACACACUCACACACACACACCGGUUUUUCCCUGAAGCGAUCCGCAACCCCCAACUCGUUCAGUCCUAGCCCACUACUGCUAGGCCUCCAAUUAAAUCAAAAGUGGUUUGUUUUUAUUGGUGUUUUGCGCUGACAAGUGGGCUAUCAUCCUGACGACUCUACCUGUCAGUGAGCGACUGAAAAUCCUCAGUUGACAAUGCCCAAUGCUUCCAAUUAGGAGAGAAUCAGACUCCUAACGUGCUAGCGAUCUUUCCACCCUCCCCCAAGGCCCUUCCUUAAACCCCCCCACCCCUCUGGCACCCCCAUCUUUCGGCACUCGCCCAACCAGCUUCUGCCAUUUCGCUCUCUCAUUCUUGCUUCCUUCAUAAUCUUCCCCUUCGCUUUUUUCAAGGUAGGUAUAUCUCCUCUGCAAAUUACUGACACAAAACGGGGUGGCGCACCGGCGGUCCCGAGCCUGAGUGCUGGCGGUCCCGAGCCCCCUGUCAGCUUUAAUGAGCCAAUAAAGGUAUAUUUCUCCAGCGUGAAUGCGCUAAAGUCUUUCUUGUGUGACAGCUGACUGGGAAAUGUGAGUGUUAACCUUAUAAAAGAUUCAGCGGUUCUCAUUAUUUUCUGUCAAAUCUCGCACCUGAUGGCUUUAAGGUGCAUCAUUUGCAUCGCUGACUGGUCCAGGGUGUGCCCAUUUUUUUCCCAACAAUGUUUGUUUGUUGACUUAAGUCAACAUUUCUUUUCUUCUACAUGUCUCUUUUUUUUAUCGCAAGGCAUGUUUUACUCAAUGUUUCGAAAUGACAGCGAUGCCAAAGUUUAUCCAGGAACGUCGUACCACUUUCCUGAACAUAUCCAAAUAUAUAUUUAACAAACAUGGAACAGAAUAAAUAAAUGAAAUUCAAAACAUUGUUUUCACCCGAGUUGAGGUAAGAUCAAACGACUUUGAAGCCUCUUGCCACUCAUCUCUUCUGCCUCUCCCUCAAAUCUUCAAACAAUCGGAGGAUGUACGUUAAAUACAAGUGUUUGAGAGACAGAUUUUUAGAGGGCGUUUCUGUGCAUCUCCAUUUGGUGUGUCAAGCUCCUGAAUUUCUGUCCUCUGCAUUAAUUCUUCAUUCUAUGCACUGUCCAACUUGUGUAACAUUUACUGUGGUUUAAGCAUUCUAGAAUUUUGUAUGGCCAAUGCCAAUCAAGCUUAAUCAGUGUUUUAAGUCAUAAAAAUAUUAAAAUAAUAAAUGAAAGUUGUGAAGUGGUGUUGGUACAACUUUUUGCACAAUUGUGAAGCUUUUAAAAGUUCAAAGUCGUAUCACUGCAUAUAUAUA